rnacentral:rRNA from 1 species
CUCAGGUGUUGUUGGGUAGGGGAGCGUUCUGUAAGCCUGCGAAGGUGGCCUGUGAGGGUUGCUGGAGGUAUCAGAAGUGCGAAUGCUGACAUAAGUAACGAUAAAGCGGGUGAAAAGCCCGCUCGCCGGAAGACCAAGGGUUCCUGUCCAACGUUAAUCGGGGCAGGGUGAGUCGACCCCUAAGGCGAGGCCGAAAGGCGUAGUCGAUGGGAAACGGGUUAAUAUUCCCGUACUUGGUGUUACUGCGAAGGGGGGACGGAGAAGGCUAUGUUGGCCGGGCGACGGUUGUCCCGGUUUAAGCGUGUAGGUGUGUGUUCCAGGUAAAUCCGGUUCACUUUAACACUGAGGCGUGACGACGAGGCACUACGGUGCUGAAGCAACAAAUGCCCUGCUUCCAGGAAAAGCCUCUAAGCAUCAGGUAACAUCAAAUCGUACCCCAAACCGACACAGGUGGUCAGGUAGAGAAUACCAAGGCGCUUGAGAGAACUCGGGUGAAGGAACUAGGCAAAAUGGUGCCGUAACUUCGGGAGAAGGCACGCUGACAC